AGUGAACGCUGGCGGCGUGCCUAAUACAUGCAAGUCGAACGAAGUGGCGCACGGGUGAGUAAGAAAUGGUUAGUCUGCCCUACAAAGGGGAGCGACAGUUGGAAACGACUGAUAAUACCUCAUAGUGUAGGAUGAGACAAUCACGUAUCAACUAGUUGGUAAGGUAAUGUCUGACCAAGGCUAUGAAGCGUAACUGGUCUGAGGGGAUGAUCAGUAAACUUGGAACUGAGACACGGUUCAACAUCCUACGGGAUGCAGCGGUAAGGAAUAGUGCGCAAUGGGCGAAACCUUGAAGCAGCAACGCGUCGUGGAGUAUGACACGUUUCGGAGCGUAAACUCCUUUUAUCAGCAAAGCGUUACCUGCUGAAUAAGCACCGGCUAACUCCGUGCCAGCAGCCGCGGUAAUUC
rnacentral:rRNA from 1 species